UGCAGCGACGCCGCGUGAGGGAUGACGGCCUUCGGGUUGUAAACCUCUUUCAGCAGGGAAGAAGCGGAAGUGACGGUACCUGCAGAAGAAGCGCCGGCUAACUACGUGCCAGCAGCCGCGGUAAUACGUAGGGCGCAAGCGUUGUCCGGAAUUAUUGGGCGUAAAGAGCUCGUAGGCGGUCUGUCGCGUCUGCUGUGAAAGCCCGGGGCUCAACCCCGGGUCUGCAGUGGGUACGGGCAGACUAGAGUGCAGUAGGGGAGACUGGAAUUCCUGGUGUAGCGGUGAAAUGCGCAGAUAUCAGGAGGAACACCGAUGGCGAAGGCAGGUCUCUGGGCUGUUACUGACGCUGAGGAGCGAAAGCAUGGGGAGCGAACAGGAUUAGAUACCCUGGUAGUCCAUGCCGUAAACGUUGGGCACUAGGUGUGGGGGGCAUUCCACGUUCUCCGCGCCGUAGCUAACGCAUUAAGUGCCCCGCCUGGGGAGUACGGCCGCAAGGCUAAAACUCAAAGGAA
rnacentral:rRNA from 1 species